rnacentral:rRNA from 1 species
GGCUCAGAUUGAACGCUGGCGGCAGGCCUAACACAUGCAAGUCGAACGGUAACAGGAAGAAGCUUGCUUCUUGCUGACGAGUGGCGGACGGGUGAGUAAUGUCUGGGAAACUGCCUGAUGGAGGGGGGAUAACUACUGGAAACGGUAGCUAAUACCGCAUAACGUCGCAAGACCAAAGAGGGGGACCUUCGGGCCUCUUGCCAUCGGAUGUGCCCAGAUGGGAUUAGCUAGUAGGUGGGGUAACGGCUCACCUAGGCGACGAUCCCUAGCUGGUCUGAGAGGAUGACCAGCCACACUGGAACUGAGACACGGUCCAGACUCCUACGGGAGGCAGCAGUGGGGAAUAUUGCACAAUGGGCGCAAGCCUGAUGCAGCCAUGCCGCGUUAGUAUGAAGAAGGCCUUCGGGUUGUAAAGUACUUUCAGCGGGGAGGAAGGGAGUAAAGUUAAUACCUUUGCUCAUUGACGUUACCCGCAGAAGAAGCACCGGCUAACUCCGUGCCAGCAGCUGC